GCUAAUACCGCAUAUUCUCUGAGGAGGAAAGUAGGGGAUCGAAAGACCUUAUGCUUUUGGAGCGGCCGAUGUCUGAUUAGCUAGUUGGUAGGGUAAUGGCUUACCAAGGCGACGAUCAGUAGUUGGUCUGAGAGGACGACCAGCCACACUGGGACUGAGACACGGCCCAGACUCCUACGGGAGGCAGCAGUGGGGAAUUUUGGACAAUGGGCGCAAGCCUGAUCCAGCAAUGCCGCGUGAGUGAAGAAGGCCUUCGGGUUGUAAAGCUCUUUCAGUUGAGAAGAAAAAGUCGUGACUAAUAAUCAUAAUUCAUGACGGUAUCAACAGAAGAAGCACCGGCUAACUACGUGCCAGCAGCCGCGGUAAUACGUAGGGUGCAAGCGUUAAUCGGAAUUACUGGGCGUAAAGGGUGCGCAGGCGGUUCUGUAAGUCAGAUGUGAAAUCCCCGGGCUUAACCUGGGAACUGCGUUUGAAACUA
rnacentral:rRNA from 1 species